UACACACCGCCCGUCACACCAUGGGAGUUGGCUUUACCUUAAGCCGGUGCGCGAACCCGCAAGGGACGCAGCCGACCACGGUCAGGUCAGCGACUGGGGUG
rnacentral:rRNA from 1 species